CAUUAGCACGGUAACACGGAGGGUGCAAGCGUUAAUCGGAAUUACUGGGCGUAAAGCGCACGCAGGCGGUCUGACAAGUCAGAUGUGAAAUCCCCGGGCUUAACCUGGGAACUGCAUUUGAAACUGUCAGGCUGGAGUCUUGUAGAGGGGGGUAGAAUUCCAGGUGUAGCGGUGAAAUGCGUAGAGAUCUGGAGGAAUACCGGUGGCGAAGGCGGCCCCCUGGACAAAGACUGACGCUCAGGUGCGAAAGCGUGGGGAGCAAACAGGAUUAGAUACCCGCGUAGUCCCUGUCUCUUAUACA
rnacentral:rRNA from 1 species